GUUGCCCCUGACAACUCCGCCCCCUUGGCCCGCUAACUGGACAGCUGAGCACAGUGAUUGACAGAUGGGUGGGAGAAAGUGCGUGAGGGAUGGGAGGGGAGGAGAAAGCGCGCGACCGAGGAGGGGCGUUUGCUCACACUUGGGAGGAGUAAAUGGGGAACCGGCAGCUUCCUGAAUCAGGGACAACGGAACUACGCUUAAUAGGAUGAUAGGAAACCAAAUCAUCAUAUUGAAGAUGGUAAACAUAGGAAAAGAAUCCAUUAUCAUGCUGUUUUUCUAUAAACUGUACCUGACAAUAAUGAAACAGAAAACGAAGGGAUGUCUUCUUCUUCUUCUUCUUCUUUUUUUUAUUCAUUUGAGAGAGAGAGAGAGAAAUUGUGCGCGUGCGCAUGCAGGAACAGGAAGAAGCAGAGCAAGAAGCAGCGUCCCCGCUGAGCCCAGAGCCCUAGGACCUGGAGGUCAUGACCUGAGCAGAAGGCAGACACUUAAUUAACCAUCUGAGCCAUCCAGGCACCCCCAAAGGGAUGUCUUUUUGUAUAACCAUUCCAACUAUUAUGACAGAGUUUGGAUAUGGCUGUUUGAAAUCCCUAGUAAAUUAAUGAAUCUAGGCAUGGAGCAUCUAGGUUUGGAUGCUUCAAUGGUUAAAUUGAGGGAAAAGAAAGGAAUGGAGAGGGAACCUAUAGACUGAGACUUUAGAGGCAUAGGAGAUUCUUAAAAAUGGGCGAAGCUUAACUAUAAUGGCCAAAGAUCCACAUUUGGGUGAUAAAACUACAAAAACACAAUUAAAGGACAUGCUUAUCAUGCACCAUAGUAUCCACUUAUGCCAGGAGGGACAGGCUGUCAUGAAGAUGAAGAACACAGUGGGGUGGUGGGGGAGCUUUGGAUGUCUGCAAAGUUCUGCUUCUUUCUCUGGGUGAUGGUCUAAAGGGUAUUCAUUUUCUGUUAGUUUAUUAAACUAUACUUCUGUUUUUUCAUGGUUUUCUGUACCUGUGUUUUAUUUUAAAAUAAAAAGGUAUGGCACUCU